rnacentral:rRNA from 1 species
CCUACGGGUGGCAGCAGUGAGGAAUAUUGGUCAAUGGACGAGAGUCUGAACCAGCCAAGUAGCGUGAAGGAUGACUGCCCUAUGGGUUGUAAACUUCUUUUAUAUGGGAAUAAAAUGUUCCACGUGUGGGAUUUUGUAUGUACCAUAUGAGUAAGGAUCGGCUAACUCCGUGCCAGCAGCCGCGGUAAUACGGAGGAUCCGAGCGUUAUCCGGAUUUAUUGGGUUUAAAGGGGGCGUAGGUGGAUUGUUAAGUCAGUUGUGAAAGUUUGCGGCUCAACCGUAAAAUUGCAGUUGAAACUGGCAGUCUUGAGUACAGUAGAGGUGGGCGGAAUUCGUGGUGUAGCGGUGAAAUGCAUAGAUAUCACGAAGAACUCAGAUUGCGAAGGCAGUUCACUGGACUGCAACUGACACUGAGGCUCGAAAGUGUGGGUAUCAAACAGGAUUAGAUACCCCUGUAGUC